GAUGAACGCUGGCGGCGUGCCUAAUACAUGCAAGUCGAGCGAACGUACGAGAAGCUUGCUUUUCUGAUGUUGGCGGCGGACGGGUGAGUAACACGUGGAUAACCUACCUAUAAGACUGGGAUAACUUCGGGAAACCGGAGCUAAUACCGGAUAAUAUUUUGAACCGCAUGGUUCAAAAGUGAAAGACGGUCUUGCUGUCACUUAUAGAUGGAUCCGCGCUUCAUUAGCUAGUUGGUAAGGAAACGGCUUACCAAGGCAACGAUGCAUAGCCGACCUGGGAGGGUGAUCGGCCACACUGGAACUGAGACACGGUCAAGACUCCUACGGGAGGCAGCAGUAGGGAAUCUUCCGCAAUGGGCGAAAGCCUGACGGAGCAACGCCGCGUGAGUGAUGAAGGUCUUCGGAUCGUAAAACUCUGUUAUUAGGGAAGAACAUAUGUGUAAGUAACUGUGCACAUCUUGACGGUACCUAAUCAGAAAGCCACGGCUAACUACGUG
rnacentral:rRNA from 1 species